GAGCCGCAGUGAAUAGGCCCAAGCGACUGUUUAUCAAAAACACAGGUCUCUGCUAACACGCAAGUGGAUGUAUAGAGACUGACGCCUGCCCGGUGUUGGUAGGUUAAGGAAGACGGUUAGCUCUUCGGAGCGAAGCUGGCGACCGAAGCCCCAAUAAACGGCGGCCCUAACUAUGAGGGUCCUAAGGUAGCGAAGUUCCUUGUCGGGUAAGUUCCGACCUGCAUGAAAGGCGUAACGAAUUCAGCACUGUCUCAACCACAGACCCGGUGAAAUUGUAGUUGUGGUGAAGAUGCCACAUACCCGCGGUUAGACGGAAAGACCCCGUGCACCUUUACUGCAGCUUCAGAGUGGCAUUAGGAAAGAGUUGUGUAGCAUAGGUGGGAGGCUUUGAAGCGACGGCGCCAGCUGUCGUGGAGCCAUAGGUGAAAUACCACCCUGCUGUUUUCUGAUGUCUAACCACGCACCGUUAUCCGGUGUUGGGACCCUCUGUGGCGGGUAGUUUGACUGGGGCGGUCGCCUCCUAAAAGGUAACGGAGGCG
rnacentral:rRNA from 1 species